rnacentral:rRNA from 1 species
UAGGCGACCGGGUGAGUAACACGUGACUAACCUACCUUCGAGUGGGGGAUAACCUCGGGAAACCGGGGCUAAUACCGCAUAAUAUCUUCGGGAUGAAAAGCCGAAGAUCAAAGGAGCAAUUCGCUGGAAGAGGGAGUCGCGGCUGAUUAGCUAGUUGGCGGGGUAAUGGCCCACCAAGGCUUUGAUCGGUAGCCGACCUGAGAGGGCGCACGGCCACACUGGAACUGAAACACGGUUCAG